GGCCGCUUGGUCUAGUAGUAUGAUUCCUGUUUUGGGAAUACAGGAGGUCGCGAGUUCAAUUCUCGCAGCGGCCC
rnacentral:tRNA from 1 species